CCUACGGGAGGCAGCAGUGAGGAAUAUUGGUCAAUGGACGAGAGUCUGAACCAGCCAAGUAGCGUGAAGGAUGACUGCCCUAUGGGUUGUAAACUUCUUUUAUAUGGGAAUAAAAUGUUCCACGUGUGGGAUUUUGUAUGUACCAUAUGAAUAAGGAUCGGCUAACUCCGUGCCAGCAGCCGCGGUAAUACGGAGGAUCCGAGCGUUAUCCGGAUUUAUUGGGUUUAAAGGGAGCGUAGGUGGAUUGUUAAGUCAGUUGUGAAAGUUUUGGGCUCAACCGUAAAAUUGCAGUUGAAACUGGCAGUCUUGAGUACAGUAGAGGUGUGCGGAAUUCGUGGUGUAGCGGUGAAAUGCUUAGAUAUCACGAAGAACUCCGAUUGCGAAGGCAGUUCACUGGACUGCAACUGACACUGAGGCUCGAAAGUGUGGGUAUCAAACAGGAUUAGAUACCCCAGUAGUC
rnacentral:rRNA from 1 species